AAAAUGCCGGAAUAGCUCAGUUGGUAGAGCAGAGGACUGAAAAUC
rnacentral:tRNA from 1 species